GUAAUAGAGCCCAUAUUGACAACAUCUGUUUAACAUGAUUCUUGGGAAGGUUUCUCAGAAAUUAACAGGAAUAGAUAAACAUCUUGUAUUUUAGCUGACCAGUAGAUGGGAUAAGGAAGAACAAAGGGGCGAUCACAGUUAAUUAAUGACCUGUCAAGUACAUGUGGGAAGAAUUUGUUUUGUUUACGUCAGCACCCAGCUAAGAGAUAAAAAGAAGGAACACCAGGGAUGAGGGGUCAGUUCAGACAGAGGAGACACAGAGACAGUCAUGAUGUGACAGAGAAGAAUAAAGAUCGUUCUCGGCCACGGCAGAUCUUGUGCGUCUGUGAUUCAUUUUCUGCGCCGCCAGUUUCCACUUCCUUCAUUACAUGGCGUUGUCGGCAGGAUCCGGUAAUAUCUCCCUGCACGGGAUGGAAGGGACUAUGACCAACCCUCGGACGCCGGCUACGAGACCACAAGAGACGACCUCUCCAGAGCACAGCCCGGCACAGCCCAGCACGAACAACCCACGGACGACUCCAAGGCCACGGAAGAUGACUACAGACCACAACCAGUCCGGUGAGAUCUUGCCUUUGCUUGGUUUUGAGCAUUGUGACCUGGCCACCUAGUCUGAUUCUGUGUAGCGUAAAUCUGUAGAUUGUAGUGUUAACUUGGUAAUAUGUAGGGCAACACAAGGUAUACGUAGUUCUCGUUAGACAGCAAAAAAUAGGUUUUCAAAAUACAGGUUGUUUAGUUAGUGUGGUAACAUGAUGUAAGGAAAAGCCGUGAAGUGUCGAUCCCUCAAUGUUAGCUAGCUGAGCACGGUGGAGUUUAAGAGACUUUUCUUGGAAUGAUCUGAAUGUCCCAAGUAGACUUGUGUGAUUUUGAAUUUGGCUCUCCGUGGUUCGGAAUUAUUUUGAGAAACAAAACAAAACAGAAACGUAUCUAUUAGAGUGUAGUUUUCCUUGUUAUUUGUGUGAGUGUUGGACGGAAAAGUAGGACAGAUUCUGUUCUGCUGUUCAUGUGUAUGUUAGGCUCGUACUAGUUGUAGACAAUGAUACUUGCAACUUUUUGAGAGGGACUCCAUUAGGAUAGGUCGACAGGAGCUCUACCGACAGCCACGGUUGAGCAGGGGGUAGGGCAGCCCCACAGACUCCUGGGGUGGGGUAGGUAUUGAGCGUGCCUAUUGAGACCUAGCUUUAAUUGAGUCCAGGGGUAAACUUGGACAAGAACAUGAUAGCUUUUGGUAGUAUUGGGCAGGUUGAAAACAGGUCGUUGUUUCUUGGUAGCUUAGACAUUAAGACUGAGUCUCAAUGGAAAGACAGAUGACAGUUUCAUUGAAGUGAAGAAUGUUUCAGCGAGGGUCCUGGGUCCAUAAGCCAGUGGGGGGUGGAGCUGACUGCCGGAUUGAUGUCCGUGGAAAGCCAGACAUUCGGGCAAAUGUUGCCGGUUAGCGGGGAUGUUUGGGCGUCAUGAAGGCUCAGCUGAUAGCAAGGUCAGUUAAAUCCUACCCCCAGAGCUUAGCUUGUGUUAGUGAUAGACUAGAGACGAACAUCUGAAAUUAGUGUAGGGUCUAGUGAAGGUAGCAAGACGGUGUGGCCAGGUUGUACGAUGCUCUACCUUGCAGGAGAUAAACCCAGACAGUGGCGAAGCGAGAGUCACUUAUGGAGGGUGUAAAUGGUCCAGACACGGUGGAGGAGACGCCACAAAGGGCACCCCACCAACGAAGGACCAAGGAUUCAACGGGCCUGUGACCUGAUCCCGACAAGCCACACCGGCAGCCAAUUGGGCACGGACAGGACACAGCCGCCGUGAGGACAAGGAGGCGAGGGGAGCAGGGGAGAGACAACUGGCGCACCUGAGCAGAGCAGACCCUAGAGCAACAACAACGACCGGAGUGAUGGUGACCCCAAGAUCACGCAGAUAAUGACCUGAAAACGGACAUUGUACCAUGGACUUGAUAACUGAACUCUUGAUCCAUUGACGAGAUUUUCGAUACAGAUUUCAUAGUAUACUGUAUGUUUUUCACAUUGUGAUUUAGACCUGAUACUGGGAAGCUAGUGUUUCUCCACUCAGAUCUGUUUGUCAUAUAUCAAUCAAUUAAUGUCACUGAUGUAAACUGACUUAUUACUGUUUUUUUGUUCUUUCAUAAUGAUAGUUGCUAUUGUAAAAUGCGGGGACGCAUUUGUUUCAAAGCAGGGGGAUGUAAUAGAGCCCAUAUUGACAACAUCUGUUUAACAUGAUUCUUGGGAAGGUUUCUCAGAAAUUAACAGGAAUAGAUAAACAUCUUGUAUUUUAGCUGACCAGUAGAUGGGAUAAGGAAGAACAAAGGGGCGAUCACAGUUAAUUAAUGACCUGUCAAGUACAUGUGGGAAGAAUUUGUUUUGUUUACGUCAGCACCCAGCUAAGAGAUAAAAAGAAGGAACACCAGGGAUGAGGGGUCAGUUCAGACAGAGGAGACACAGAGACAGUCAUGAUGUGACAGAGAAGAAUAAAGAUCGUUCUCGGCCACGGCA